GGAAGUGUAUCCAAGUGGUUAAAGGCUGGGGAUUGUAAAUCCUCCGGGGAAACCCUUCGAAGGUUCGAAUCCUUCCGCUUCCA
rnacentral:tRNA from 1 species